rnacentral:rRNA from 2 species
UAGCGGCGGACGGGUGAGUAACACGUGGGCAACCUGCCUGUAAGACUGGGAUAACUUCGGGAAACCGAAGCUAAUACCGGAUAGGAUCUUCUCCUUCAUGGGAGAUGAUUGAAAGAUGGUUUCGGCUAUCACUUACAGAUGGGCCCGCGGUGCAUUAGCUAGUUGGUGAGGUAACGGCUCACCAAGGCAACGAUGCAUAGCCGACCUGAGAGGGUGAUCGGCCACACUGGGACUGAGACACGGCCCAGACUCCUACGGGAGGCAGCAGUAGGGAAUCUUCCGCAAUGGACGAAAGUCUGACGGAGCAACGCCGCGUGAGUGAUGAAGGCUUUCGGGUCGUAAAACUCUGUUGUUAGGGAAGAACAAGUACGAGAGUAACUGCUCGUACCUUGACGGUACCUAACCAGAAAGCCACGGCUAACUACGUGCCAGCAGCCGCGGUAAUACGUAGGUGGCAAGCGUUAUCCGGAAUUAUUGGGCGUAAAGCGCGCGCAGGCGGUUUCUUAAGUCUGAUGUGAAAGCCCACGGCUCAACCGUGGAGGGUCAUUGGAAACUGGGGAACUUGAGUGCAGAAGAGA